UACGAAGGGGGCUAGCGUUGCUCGGAAUCACUGGGCGUAAAGCGCACGUAGGCGGGUUGUUAAGUCAGGGGUGAAAUCCUGGAGCUCAACUCCAGAACUGCCUUUGAUACUGGCAACCUAGAGACUGGAAGAGGUUAGUGGAAUUCCCAGUGUAGAGGUGAAAUUCGUAGAUAUUGGGAAGAACACCAGUGGACGCAAGGACGGGC
rnacentral:rRNA from 1 species